rnacentral:lncRNA from 1 species
GUCGUUUAAAGAGUCUCGUUUAGGGGGAGAUUUUCUCCCAAUAAUUUUUAAUAUUUUUUAUAUUAGUUUUCAAUAUAUAGGUCACUUGACCAAAUUACAUCAAUAAUAUGUUUUUUAGUAUGUUUUUCUUUGUCGUCUGAAUUAUUACUACGAUAGUUUGCAACUAAUAGCUUCCGCAUGACGCCCUCUCGAUUUCGAACCCAACAAGUGGUAUCAGAGUCUAUGGUUCAAUGAUCCGAUGGUUCAAAUUGAGGACAUGUUGAGAACAAAGUUGCAACAAAUUUGAUGAUAAUGAAGAUAUAUGUCCAAAAACUACAUAUGGAGACGAUUGUCAAUCAUAUUUUCAAUAAUCCUGCUAUUACGUAUUUGAAAAGGAAGCUUACUUUUAACCCUAUAAAGGGCUCCAAUGUUUUUAAUCCGAAAGGACUUAUAUAUUUUUAACCCAAAAAGCCUCAAUUUUUAAAGCAUGUCAAACAACAGUGAUAUAUGAAGAAUACAUAUGAAGAACGAAGAUUAUGCACAAGAAGAAGGAGGAUCAAGAAUAUUUUGAAGAAAAUCAAGCAAAAAAGGGGAGUUUUGUUAGGGUUUUGCCCUAAUUUUCUUACUAUAUUUAAGUUUUACUUUUUUUUAGAAGGAAAAUAAAAGUUACCAUAAUUACUUUUACUUUUCCUAAAAAAAAAAAUAUAUAAUUCUUUUCCAUAUUUGGCUAACGUCUUUCUUGGAGGAAAAGUUUUGAAUAUCUAUAAAUAGAAGACUCCCUAC